rnacentral:rRNA from 1 species
CCUACGGGAGGCAGCAGUGAGGAAUAUUGGUCAAUGGACGAGAGUCUGAACCAGCCAAGUAGCGUGAAGGAUGACUGCCCUAUGGGUUGUAAACUUCUUUUAUAAAGGAAUAAGCGAGGCACGUGUGCCUCUUUGCAUGUACUUUAUGACUAAGGAUCGGCUAACUCCGUGCCAGCAGCCGCGGUAAUACGGAGGAUGCGAGCGUUAUCCGGAUUUAUUGGGUUUAAAGGGAGCGUAGACGGGUUGUUAAGUCAGUUGUGAAAGUUUGCGGCUCAACCGUAAAAUUGCAAUUGAUACUGGCAGGCUAGAGUACAGUUGAGGUAGGCGGAAUUCGUGGUGUAGCGGUGAAAUGCUUAGAUAUCACGAAGAACCCCGAUUGCGAAGGCAGCUUACUAAACUGUGACUGACAUUGAUGCUCGAAAGUGUGGGUAUCAAACAGGAUUAGAUACCCGUGUAGUC